UACGGAGGGGGCUAGCGUUGUUCGGAAUUACUGGGCGUAAAGCGCACGUAGGCGGCUUUGUAAGUUAGAGGUGAAAGCCCGGGGCUCAACUCCGGAAUUGCCUUUAAGACUGCAUCGCUAGAAUUGUGGAGAGGUAAGUGGAAUUCCGAGUGUAGAGGUGAAAUUCGUAGAUAUUCGGAAGAACACCGGUGGCGAAGGCGGCGAUCUGGGUCGAUACUGACGCUGAGGUGCGAGAGCGUGGGGAGCAAACAGG
rnacentral:rRNA from 1 species